GACCCCCGCCCCCGCCGCGGCCCGGCCCGGCCCUCACGACCACCCCCCCCCCGCUGGAGCCGCCGGGGCGCAGGAGCGGGGCGGGGAGAAGCGGCGCCCCAGCCGCGCACGCAGAUCACUGAUAAAGACAUUGAACUGCGUUGGCUCCUUUGAAGCUGUUAAAUAACCCGUUAGAAGAGAGUAGAAACAUGCUGAGGUAGCUGCUAAUUGGUUCGCAGAGCAUUUGAUACAGACAUGGCUUUUGUUCCUUCUCUAUCACCUCAAUGGGGUUGUGACCCACCAUGAAGAGUAUCUUCCAGGUGAGGAGGUACACAAGAAACUGGGAUGGAGCAUGGCCAGGACAGCUGACCCGAACUACCCAAAGGGAUAUUCCAUACCAUAGAACGUCAUGCACAAGCAGGACACAACUAGCCAGCUUGCCAAAGACCACCAACAGCACAUCUUAGGAUUCCAACUGAAACGGUCAAUCGCACAGAGAAAAACAGAUGCACAUACAUUUAUCUAAGAACUCUGCAGCUGAACUGGUGAAAUGAAGAACUUGGGGAUAUAUUAUUACUGAGACAGUAUAAAAGUUCCAUAUGGUUCCCAUUGCUGAUAUUUCUAUAGAGUGAGGUCUACUGACUGCAAUUUAAAAAUUAGAUUUUUCACUUGAUUUAAUUAAAUAUCUGAUUAUAUAUUUUGGUUCAUUUCACUAAUGUUUAGACCAUGUUUCACAGAUUUUGUGCACCAAAACUGUUUGUAAACAUGCACCUCUACACAUUCCUCCAGAAGUCUUGCUGUCCUCCAUGAUCUCAUUCCAGCAAACACACCACGGUGUGUAAAAUAAUAAGUGUCACAAGAGACUGCUCAAAUGUAAGGUUACAGAAAUUGUCAUGGUUCUGAAGUGAACCAUCCAGGUUAACAGGGGACUGAAGGAAGGGGAGAUUUUUGCUAGUGCGGGAUGUGAAAUCCAUUUCACUUGGCUCCAGAGCAGCAGCCUGACAGCCGCCGCAGCAUCCUGAGGAUGUGACUGCUGUGGCUCGCCUGAGAAAAGGCAGACUUCUUCAAGUAGUGGUACAACAAAUAUACAAUGGCCAGAACCUCCUCGUAAAAUUGCUGGCUGUAACACAGCAAGGUAAGCCCCCGCAAAGCAUUGCUCUCUACAAAUCACAUCAAUAAAGCACAGCGAUCUGUGAAGGCAUGGCAGAAUGAGGCAGGCACGUCUUAUCCAACAGUUUUGGCAUUCUGCACCUGUAGGACUUAGAACAGUCACACUUCUUAUCUCCCCAAAUCCUUUUAUCCUUUGAAACCAGUUUCAUUGGUAUUUUAGAAAUUCCCCAUCUCUCUCACACAGUUUAUAAAGCUUGGCCCACUAGUCAGUCUCUAGUUUCUUUUUCUCCCCCAUACUUGCAGUGAAGCAGGAUCUCCCCAACUGACAGAGAUGACUGCUGUACACUUCACGUUGCAAGUUUUCAUGCAAGAUAGCACAUAUUUACAAUAAAGGAUAUUGCAUAACUAAACAUAGUUAAGUUGCAAUUAUUUAAAUACUUCUAGUAGCAUAUCUAAUAGCAUCUCCAUGCAAGAAAAAAAAAGCAGCUUUUUUUUUU